GAUGAACGCUAGCGGGAGGCUUAACACAUGCAAGUCGAGGGGCAUCACGGGUAGCAAUACCUGGUGGCGACCGGCAGACGGGUGAGUAACGCGUAUGUAACCUACCCUGUACGAGGGGGAUAACCCGGAGAAAUUCGGACUAAUAUCCCAUAAUGAUAUCGUGGGGGCAUCUUCGGAUAUUUAAAGUUCCGGCGGUACAGGAUGGGCAUGCGUAACAUUAGCUAGUUGGUAAGGUAACGGCUUACCAAGGCUUUGAUGUUUAGGGGUCCUGAGAGGGUCGGUCCCCCACACUGGUACUGAGACACGGACCAGACUCCUACGGGAGGCAGCAGUGAGGAAUAUUGGUCAA
rnacentral:rRNA from 1 species